GGCCGGGCUGGACAAGCGCUGCCGGGAGCUGCGUGACCUCGUCAGCCUGCAAGGUGCUGCCCCUCGGCCUCACGGGGACAGGGGUGGGCUCAUGGCCCUCCCCGUCGUCCUGCACGUUACCAACGAUCCCCCGAUGUCCUCCAGCGCAAGGACUGCGGAUUUUCUCCCAGUCGUGUGAGGAGAAGCUCCGGCAGAACAGGCAGCUGCUGCCCAGCCUGCAGCAGGCGCUGCAGGAGGAUGCCCGUGUCCUGGAUUUUGUCCUGAAGUACAACAGGCUCCCCGCCAACGAUGCCUUCUCAGAGGGGAAGGUCGCUGCUGCAGCCACUGAGAGCCUGGAGGCGGCCCAGAAGAGGCUGGAGGCCGUGGUCCAUGACCAGGUGAAGGUGUGUGACAUGCUGCUGCACCAGGUGAAGCAGUGGAGCCAGGCCCGUGACGAUCGCCAGAGGUACCUGCAGCAGCUCAAGGACGCUGAGUUGGACGACAGGCUGCAGCAGCCGCAGUUCCAGGCGAUUCGCCAGCUGGGCAACGACAUUGAGAAGAUGCUCAUGAAAAUUCAGACUGGGCAGAGGGUGACCAGCAUGUACCUGCAGGUGCAGGACAUCAUGAGGAAGGAGCUGUUCUACCUGCCUCGGUACCUGGACCUCAUGUGUGGGAUAACUGUGAUGUACAAUGAGGAGCUCACAUCCCGGCAAAACCUCAAAGCCACUGAUGUAAUCAAGAAACUCAUGGCCGAGGCAGGCCCCCAGGUCCUCCUGGAGAGGUCCCUCAGGGAGCAGUCCCUGCUCGAGCAGAGGGAGAACCUCGAGAACCUCCAGCAGAAGACAGAGACCGAGAGGCAGCUGAGAGAGGUGACCUGGGGGCCCGGGGCUGUGGGGAGGUGCCAGCCAGCGGUGCUGAGCCCCCCGGGGUGGGACUGCAGGGGCAGCUGCCCCGGU
rnacentral:lncRNA from 1 species